UGCCAGCCGCCGCGGUAAUACGUAGGGUGCGAGCGUUAAUCGGAAUUACUGGGCGUAAAGCGUGCGCAGGUGGUUUUGUAAGUCAGAUAUUAAAUCACGGGGCUCAACUCCGUGGCUGUGUCCAAAACUGAUUAACUAGAGUAUUGGAGAGGUAUGUGGAAUUCUGUGUGUAGGGGUAAAAUCCGUUGAUAUACAGAGGAACACCAAAAGCGAAGGCAGCAUACUGGCCAAUUACUGACGCUCAGGGACGAAAGCAUGGGUAGCGAAGAGGAUUAGAUA
rnacentral:rRNA from 1 species